CGCCCCGUCCUAGGGGAGUAGUCUCCCGCGAGCGCCCUGCUCGCCCGGCGUGCGUCAACAUACUUGGUCCACAGACCAUGGCGCAUGCGACCCAGAGCCUGCAUAGACAGGCCCGCGGUUUGACAAGACCUAUGACACACACAACCUGACCCGGGGUGGGCAGAUUGCGUGUGUCAUGGUGAU
rnacentral:sRNA from 2 species